rnacentral:lncRNA from 1 species
GGGGGGAAGGAAAAAAAAACUGGGGAGAACUAGGCGGCUUUCUGAUCAGAGUUCAGAUAAAAAGGGUCACAGUAAUUUGUGGGCACUGACUAAAAUAACCCAAUGGAUUUGAGAGUUACCGCAAAAGAAGCAAACAGACAAACUAAAGAGGUAUAACUCCUACUUGAAGAGUGUGAGAGAAUAUUUACUACUCGGAUGUUUGAGACAUACCAAAAAAUGCUUUUUGAUCCUUUAUCAAGAAGACGUAAUGACCAAGAUUGAUAAAGAAAAAUGCAAUGGUUACUUUACCUGCAACCAUCUCAAAGACGCUCUAAUGUCAUUUCAGAGGACUUCAGCCAUGAACUUGGUGAUGAGCCAGAGAAGGUAACUUUUCAUCCCCUACAAGACCUAUUCCAUGUUGCAGCUAACCUUAAAGAAAUCAUCACUUGGAACUGAUUCAGAAUCCCAUAUCACAUUUUGUUAUUACUUUUGCCUGGUCUCCUGCUGUCUGGAACAGUUUUUCAGUCUUCCUUCAUUUUCAAGAGUGUGAAAGGAUCCCAAGACCAAAAGUCUGGGAACUGCUGGUUUAGAGUCACAAUACUGACUGCUCAAAAUGACUUUUUAAAGAAGAAAGCCUUAAAAACCCUUGAGUGAAUGGUUGGUAUUUACAGACAAGCAAAUGUAUGGAAGAGAAACGAGAGACCCAGCCUGAAUCUGUUGAAUGAACGAAAGGGGAAAUGCCCUAAGGAGUCAGAUGGAAGAAGUUUUUCUGGGAAGAGCAGAACACAGGAGUUGGGGUGCAGACCUCCUGGAUCACCAGCAGAAGGAAAAGAGCAGUGAGACGUUAAAGUGAUUGAGACAAAAAUGGAAGUAAAACAGCUUAAGGCUUUCUGAGAUCGAGUUCCUGGCAGUGUCAUCAGCAGAUGGUUUCUUCUGAAGUUCAGGGGAAGAGAAGAUGCUCGAAGAACUCUCCAGGGACUGAGUGGGUGGUACAGAGCUAGUGCUGUAGAUGCCAUGUAUACAGGCAAAUUCCCCAAUGAGUGUUUUCCAAUAUCAAGUUUAACUGGCAUUUAAGAUAUAUGCCAAAGGUAGGUAAAUUAUUUUGGCCUGUGCUUAUAGGUUUAUUUCCCUGGAUGAAGCUUUCUGUCUCUGUCCUAGUGCACUGUAGCAGAUGCAGGGUCUUUCCAUACAAUACAUUAAAAGCUGCAUCUCAUUUUAAAUAUAUUAUAGAAACCCUGAUCAUACAAUACAUACAAGAUUUUUAAGAUCAGCCUUCAGUCGAUUUUUUUGCUUUAUUUUUGUUCUGGAGGUCAAAAUGAGUGGUUAACUGUCUAAGUUGAUUGCAGAGAAAGUUACUACUCAUUCUAAACGUAGGUUUUUAGAAAAGUGUUCUUGGCAGUUGCUACCAUUGGCUUUUUCCAACUUACAUGGGAAUCAAGAUUCAGAACUGGUACACCAAUGGGAAGAGCCUGGAAAAUAGACUAUUGAUCAAGAUGAAUCUGGUCCAGAUACUUUAAGACCUUUUCAGUGUGUUUUUAAGAUUAUAAGUUUGAACUAACAGAAACUUCAAUGCUGUUUUUUCACAAGUCAAUGUGUAGUGUACUGUUAUUCUUUUUUUUCCUGUAAUAUCUUAAUAAUAUUCCUGGCUGUAAGAAAAAGUUAACACUAUACCUAUGUUUUGACUUACUUUAUAGAAGACCCAAACAAUAUUUAACAAAAGGAUUUUUCUCAAAUACUAUUUUGAAAUCACUAUAUUAGACACUAUCUUAAAUUUAUUUCUCAAUUUGCUUCUUUUUGAAACUUCCACAUUUUGGUGUUCUUUUCAGCAUCACUCAUUUUCUUUCAUAAUAAAGAUACCCAAUAACAAUAUCAUAAUAAAGAUUUGAUAACAAAUCUCCAGUUUUGGAGUGUUACAUUUCAUAUCUACAUGCUUACAGAGAAUUUAGUAUGAAUAUUCCCUGGCCUUAGUUCCUCUAAGCCUAGGAUACUUGUAGUCAUUUGGCAAAUAAUUUAAUCCAUGGCAAACAUGAGUCUUAAUACAAAAAUUAUUGAGUAGGCAAAAAAUAAUUGAACAUAUUUUGGACUGAUUACCAGUGCAUUAAAAAAGUAGAGGUUUAAGGAUGAGAAUAAUAAGUUUUUUUGUUUUUACUUAAAUUUAUAUAAAAGGAGUGAAAAUACAGUAGCCUAUAGUACUUAAGAGUGUGGGUAUAUUUUCAGCACUUAAUAAUUACUAGUUGAAUUGCAUAAUAUGGGACUAUAACUGAUAUGGUUUGGCUCUGUGUCCCCGCCCAAAUCUCAUGUUGAAUUAUAAUUUCCAAUAUUGGAGGAGGUACCUAGUGGGAGGUGACUGGAUCAUUGGGGGAAAUUUCCCCCUUGCUGUCCUCAUGAUAGUGAGUGAGUUCUCACAAGAUCUGAUGGUUUAAAAGUGUGUGGCAUUUCCCCCUUUACUCUUUCUCUCUCCUGCUGGCCAUGAGAAUAAGUGCUUGCUUCCCAUUCACCUUCUGCCAUGCUUGUGUUUCCUGAGGCUUCCCAGCCAUGCUUCUUGUUCAAGCUGCAGAACUGUGAGUCAAUUAAACCUCAUUUCUUCAUAAAUUACCCAGUCUCAGCUCUUUAUGGGAGUGUGAGAAUGGACUAAUAAAAUAUCUCUAGAAUUAUGUUUUUGGAGAUAAUUUAAAGAUAAACAAAUAUUGGAAACCUCAUUUGAUCACACAGAGAACAGUAAAUGGAAGUUCUACUUUUUCUCCAGGGCCUUUCUCAUGCUUAUGCAGGGAUUAUUCACCCAGAUAUCCUGAAAUAAGACAUCCAAUUAAGGUACCUGCUAUCUCAUGUAACACAGAAGAAAGUUGAGCAUAGAGGUUAAACAUUACCUAAUAUUGUUGGAAAAGCUUCGAAGCGUUCAUUUUCAAAGCAGCUAAUGUAAACCAUGAUAAUCACUAGUAGCACUAUGCCAUUUUAAAUACUUCAAUAUUUUGUAGUUAUUAGAUUCUAAGUAAGUAUAAAAUGUAGUGAAUACAAAUUUUAUUUGCCUAAACAGUGUUAGACAAUAUAAAUUAACGAGUUAUUUUUUAUUCUGUUUAAUAUUUUCAAGCCAAUAAACACUUUACUAAAGUA